GGGAGAUUUAAACUAUUAAUCAACACAUUUGUGCUCGUAAGUAGACCAAGUUUAUCAUCGUUAGAACUUAAUCAAAGGUCAUUGUUUAUUUAGGAUGAUCUGUGUUGCAGUGCUAUGAGGUAAAUAGUGGGAGGCGGGUAAGUGCUCUCACACUGUAUUUAAAUGUUGAUGCUACAGCUGUACCAUAGUUACAUGAGUAGCAGAAUUCUGAUUUAUUGUGAUAAAUAAACAGUGGCUUCUUGCUUUA